GACGAACGCUGGCGGCGUGCUUAACACAUGCAAGUCGAACGGAAAGGCCCUGCUUUUGUGGGGUGCUCGAGUGGCGAACGGGUGAGUAACACGUGAGUAACCUGCCCUUGACUUUGGGAUAACUUCAGGAAACUGGGGCUAAUACCGGAUAGGAGCUCCUGCUGCAUGGUGGGGGUUGGAAAGUUUCGGCGGUUGGGGAUGGACUCGCGGCUUAUCAGCUUGUUGGUGGGGUAGUGGCUUACCAAGGCUUUGACGGGUAGCCGGCCUGAGAGGGUGACCGGCCACAUUGGGACUGAGAUACGGCCCAGACUCCUACGGGAGGCAGCAGUGGGGAAUAUUGCACAAUGAGCGGAAGCCUGAUGCAGCAACGCCGCGUGCGGGAUGACGGCCUUCGGGUUGUAAACCGCUUUCGCCUGUGACGAAGCGUGAGUGACGGUAAUGGGUAAAGAAGCACCGGCUAACUACGUGCCAGCAGCCGCGGUGAUACGUAGGGUGCGAGCGUUGUCCGUAUUUAUUGGGCGUAAAGGGCUCGUAGGUGGUUGAUCGCGUCGGAAGUGUAAUCUUGGGGCUUAACCCUGAGCGUGCUUUCGAUACGGGUUGACUUGAGGAAGGUAGGGGAGAAUGGAAUUCCUGGUGGAGCGGUGGAAUGCGCAGAUAUCAGGAGGAACACCAGUGGCGAAGGCGGUUCUCUGGGCCUUUCCUGACGCUGAGGAGCGAAAGCGUGGGGAGCGAACAGGCUUAGAUACCCUGGUAGUCCACGCUGUAAACGGUGGGUACUAGGUGUGGGGUCCAUUCCACGGGUUCCGUGCCGUAGCUAACGCCUUAAGUACCCCGCCUGGGGAGUACGGCCGCAUGGCUAAAACUCAAAGGAAUUGACGGGGCCCCGCACAAGCGGCGGAGCAUGCGGAUUAAUUCGAUGCAACGCGUAGAACCUUACCUGGGUUUGACAUGGAUCGGGAGUGCUCAGAGAUGGGUGUGCCUCUUUUGGGGUCGGUUCACAGGUGGUGCAUGGCUGUCGUCAGCUCGUGUCGUGAGAUGUUGGGUUAAGUCCCGCAACGAGCGCAACCCUUGUUCACUGUUGCCAGCACGUUAUGGUGGGGACUCAGUGGAGACCGCCGGGGUCAACUCGGAGGAAGGUGGGGAUGACGUCAAGUCAUCAUGCCCCUUAUGUCCAGGGCUUCACGCAUGCUACAAUGGCUGGUACAGAGAGUGGCGAGCCUGUGAGGGUGAGCGAAUCUCGGAAAGCCGGUCUCAGUUCGGAUUGGGGUCUGCAACUCGACCUCAUGAAGUCGGAGUCGCUAGUAAUCGCAGAUCAGCAACGCUGCGGUGAAUACGUUCCCGGGGCU
rnacentral:rRNA from 1 species